rnacentral:sRNA from 1 species
GCUGGGUGUGGUGGUGUGCACCUGUAGUCUUAGCUACUGAGAGGCUGAGGCAGGAGGAUUGCUCGAGCCCAGGAGUUUGAGGCUGCAGUGAGCUAUUAUCUCACCUCUGUACUCUAGCCUGGGUGACAGAGCCAGACCCUGUCCCUU